rnacentral:rRNA from 1 species
UACGUAGGGUGCAAGCGUUGUCCGGAAUUAUUGGGCGUAAAGGGCGCGUAGGCGGCUCUAUAAGUCAAAGGUGAAAUCCCUCGGCUCAACUGAGGAACUGCCUUUGAAACUGUUGGGCUUGAGGCCGGGAGAGGGUAGUGGAAUUCCCAGUGUAGCGGUGAAAUGCGUAGAUACUGGGAGGAACACCAGUGGCGAAGGCGGCUACCUGGACCGGUUCUGACGCUGAGGCGCGAAAGCGUGGGUAGCAAACAGG